rnacentral:misc_RNA from 1 species
UUUCCGUAGGUGAACCUGCGGAAGGAUCAUUAUUGUAUAACCGAGGUGCGAGGGCUGUCGCUGACCCGAAAGGUCGUGCACGCCCGAGUGCCCUCACACACAUCCACCUCACCCCUAUGUGCACCACCGCGUGGGUCCCCCUUUGGCUUGUUCGGAGGGGGGCUUACGUUUUCACACAAACUUUGUAUGCAGUGUAGAAUGUAUUUUUGUUUUUGCGAUCACGCAAUCAAUACAACUUUCAACAACGGAUCUCUUGGCUCUC